UACGUAGGGGGCAAGCGUUGUCCGGAAUCAUUGGGCGUAAAGAGCGCGUAGGCGGUCCAGUAAGUCCGCUCUGAAAGUCCGGGGCUCAACCCCGGGGAGGCGGGCGGAUACUGCUGGGCUAGAGUCCGGAAGAGGCGAGUGGAAUUCCUGGUGUAGCGGUGAAAUGCGCAGAUAUCAGGAGGAACGCCAAUGGUGAAAACAGACUGCUGGGGGUGUGCUGACGCUGAGACACGGAAAGCCAGGGGGAGCAAAACGGG
rnacentral:rRNA from 1 species